rnacentral:rRNA from 1 species
AUGCCUCCAGGAAGGGUGAUGGCCCCUGCUCCAGGACAAAAAAAGAGGAUCCUAGAACCUGAUGAACCUGCCCCUGAUAGAGUCACAAGGCAGAAAGCAAAGAUGGCGACUGCGACGGACCAUCAGGAAAGUCUGUUGCGCAUGGACUCGGAGAUCUCGGUGCAAAUGGGUGAUGAGUUGGCGCCCAUGGAUGAAGAUGCAAUGACUACCAAGACUAGACUUAGAAAGGGCAAAGGGCUAGAGAGAAUCACCAAGUCGCUUGGUAGCAAGGUGCCUAUCCAAAUUGCCGAAGGGAUGAAGCGUCCAGAGAAGCCUCUUCAGGCAGCAAAGCUUGCUUCUGAGUGUGGAUUCGUUGCAAGAAGCCAUCUGCCGAUUCUUCCUCACUUCAAGCUAUACAAAAAAAUGCUACUCUAUUGGAGAACUACAUUGGGAAAGUUGUUGCAAAUUUUGAGAUGA